GUGGUAUCUAUUUCCUGUAAAUAAUGAAGAUUUACAGCCUAUUCGGUUGGUCAGAGAUGACAAGAGAUUUUAUACCAUUGGGAGUGUUUUGCAUCAUGACUCGGAGGGAACAUCAAUUCAUUUACCUUUUUCUCAGGUGCAUAAAUCCCACGCACGUAUUACAUGCAAAGAUAACAUCUUUUACUUGACUAACUUGCAGAGGCAGCAUGGCACCUGGAUCAAUGACACUGAAGGAAGAAGAUACAAAGUUCCACCAAAUUUCCCCACUCGCUUGCGCUCAUCUUUCUCAAUUCAAUUUGGUUCUGAUAAGAA